AUGGAGGACGGCGACGAGCUGGAUGGGUAUGCCGGAAAGAUCGAGAGCAUGGCAGCGAGAUACGCGGGCCUCGGAGCGACGCUUGGAGACGCGGCAAUGGUGAAGAAGCUGCUUGACACUGUGUUGGACCAGCUAUACGCCGCAAUGGCCGGCAUCGGGUAGUUCUACGACGUGGACUCAAUGCCGUUCAAGGAGGUGCUCGGACGGCUGAAGGCCUUCGAGGAGCGGACGCUGCGGCGCACUCAGAACAGUGGUAGACGCGACAGGGAUCAGGUGAUGCUCACGGCGGCACAGUGUGCGGCGCAGCGGCGACUGCAGAGCAGCGACUACGACGACGAUGACGACGACGGUGGCAGCACCACAUCGGGCGACGGAGGGAGGCGGCACGGUCGCUGCUACAAUUGCGGCCAGCGUGGGCACUACCGGCGUGAGUGCACGAAGCCACGAAAGGCGGAGGUGGUGGGGCAAGCUCUCAGUGACGACGUCGGGCCGGCACUCCUCUAG
rnacentral:rRNA from 1 species